rnacentral:rRNA from 1 species
UACGUAGGGUGCGAGCGUUGUCCGGAAUUACUGGGCGUAAAGAGCUCGUAGGUGGUUUGUCGCGUUGUCCGUGAAAACUCACAACUCAAUUGUGGGCGUGCGGGCGAUACGGGCAGACUGGAGUACUGCAGGGGAGACUGGAAUUCCUGGUGUAGCGGUGAAAUGCGCAGAUAUCAGGAGGAACACCCAUGGCGAAGGCAGCAAACUGGUCAUCAACUGACGCUGAGGCGCGAAAGCGUGGGUAGCAAACAGG